rnacentral:rRNA from 1 species
UACGUAGGGGGCAAGCGUUGUCCGGAAUCAUUGGGCGUAAAGCGCGUGUAGGCGGCUCGAUAAGUCUGCUGUGAAAGUCCAGGGCUCAACCCUGGAAUGCCGGUGGAAACUGUCGAGCUAGAGUCCGGAAGAGGCGAGUGGAAUUCCUGGUGUAGCGGUGAAAUGCGCAGAUAUCAGGAGGAACACCAAUGGCGAAGGCAGCUCGCUGGGACGGUACUGACGCUGAGACGCGAAAGCCUGGGGAGCGAACAGG